GGUAGGACCGCAUCUCCGCUCAGGAGGUGCCGGGAGGGCUGCAGGUGUCGGCAAACGCGUUCGUGUUAAGCUUCAGGGUUUGUGUUUGUUUGUUUUUGAGUCUUCAGGAAGGAGAGAGUCAUUUCUCCACUUCACUUUGGGAGGCUGAGAUUCUGUCUCUGCCCCCGGAGAGGCCGCUUUCCCUUUCCUUUUCGCACACUUGACUCUUUGAUUAGACUCGCCCUCCAAGAUGUCUCGUCGUUUGCUUUGGUUUUAGUUCUGUUCUCUGGGAGAAUCCCAGUUUCCGGUGCCUCCUGAGCGGAUCCCCUCUCGUCUUCAUCUUCGUCCUCCCGGGAGCUCGGCCCCUCGCUUGCCGGGGUCAGGAAUGGAGCGUGAUGGCUCUCCGGAAUCUCCACCGCGGGAGGCCUCUUCCUUGCCCGGCGAGUGCCCUUCUUCUGACCUCGGACAGGCCUUGUCCCAGAUUCUGCACCAUCUUACCGGUCAGGAGUCCCGACGGGGCAAAGCCAGAAACGCAGCUCUGCAAGACCUCGGUGCUCUCCUAGAAGCCACGGAGUGUGAUCGGCUAUUUGAGGGGAGUGACGCCCCGCAGGGCGGAGUGCCUGGGGUGCUGGGGAAGGUGGCAGCUGCCCUGGAGAAGUUUGCAGCCCCACCCAAGGAGGAGGAAGGGAGAGGGGAUGGUUACGCUACCGUGGCCGAGAGGGCGACAGCAGUUGGGCUGCUGUUCAUGAAGCUGCUGAGGAAAGUGGAGUCUGCCAAGGAGCCCCAGGUUUGCCCUGCCUGGAAGAGAGGCCUGCGUCCCCUGGCAGCACCCAUCUACGUGUUUGCCAUCACACACAGUGUGCAGCAGCCAUGGACCAGGCCACGAUCUCGGGACGUGGCCAGAGAGGUGCUCACCUUACUGCUUCACGUUGCCGAGUGUGGUUCGGUGGCGGGAUUCCUCCACGGAGAAAAUGAAGAUGAGAAAGGGAGAUUUGCUGAGAUCAUGGGGCUUCUGCAGCCCGAUUUGAAUAAGGAAUCCUGGAAGAAUAACCCUGCCACCAAACAUGUUUUCUCCUGGACUCUGCAACAGGUCACUAGGCCCUGGCUGAACCAACAUCUGGAAAGGAUACUUCCCCCAUCAUUGCUCAUCUCAGAUGACUAUCAAACUGAGAACAAAGUCCUUGGUGUCCAUUGCCUCCAUCACAUUGUGCUUAAUGUGCCAGCUGCUGAUUUGCUCCAGUAUAAUAGGGCUCAGGUCCUAUACCAUGCCCUUUUCAACCAUCUGUACACCCCGGAGCACCACCUCAUUCAGGCUGUGCUGCUGUGUCUGCUGGACCUGUUCCCAGUCCUGGAGAAGGGCCUGCACUGGAAGGGAGGUGCAGCUCGACCCACCACACACUGUGAUGAGGUCCUGCAGCUGGUCCUGACCCACAUGGAGCCAGAGCACCGCGUCCUCUUACGCAGGACCUACGCAAGGAACCUCCCGGCUUUUGUGAAGAGGUUGGGGAUUCUGACCGUCCGGCACUUGAAGAGGCUAGAGCGAGUCAUCCUUGGUUAUCUGGAGGUUUACGAUGGGCCAGAGGAGGAGGCUAGAUUGAAGAUAUUGGAAACACUGAAACUUCUGAUGCAGUAUACUUGGCCCAGAGUUUCCUGUAGACUUGUGGUCUUAUUGAAGGCUCUCUUGAAACUGAUAUGUGAUGUAGCAAGGGAUUCAAGCCUUACACCUGAGCCUGUUAAGAGUGCUUUGUUAGAGGAGGCCACAGACUGCCUGCUGCUCCUGGACUGCUGCUCUCAAGGACAAGUGAAGGGUCUCCUGGCUAAAAUUCCCCAAAGCUGCGAAGACAGGAAGGUCGUGGAGUGUGUCAGAAAGGUGCAGCAGGCUUCUGAAGGCGCUCCCUACAGUGGAACUUAAAAACUUUUCCUAAAGAGAAGAGGCUUUUCUUGUUGUAUAAAUGGAAUUAUUUAAAGAAAAAGCAUCUGAAGAGUCACUCCCUGCCUCCUGCUGUUCCAGGGCCUUGUCGAAGGCAUGGAUGGGGAAGUUGUAGAUGUCGCCGUACUGGAGAACACACAGAUUGGUUUUAACUAUUAUAUAUGUGAAUCUCACACUUACAGUCCACCGUCCAACAAGCGUAUUUUUUCUUCAGUGAAAUGAGAAUAUUUAAUCUGAUGAGUAAUAUUUCUAUCUUGUUUUCAAGUCUAGAGUUGGCAGUGUCUUUAAAAAACCCAUUUUAACAUUUAAAUAAUCAGUGGUUAAUUCCAAACUGGUAACUUCUAUGAAGGAUGAAAGAAAAAUCACUUAAAACCGUAGUAGUUUAUAGAACACAGGGAGGACAAAUGUAAAAUUUUGCUGAUAAAGAGGAAUAAAGAAAAAAUUUUUUUUAUUCA